GUGAUCAUGCACUGCACCUGGGCCAGCUGGGAGCUGUAGCGGGCCUCCGUCUCCGUCAGCGUGUUCUCCAGGGAGUCUCUCUGUGUGGGGAAGGUGUCUGAACACUACCCACCAGGUUGUGCUGGGCCUGCAGCUCGAUCUCCAGGGCGUUGACUGUGCGUCUCAGCUCGAUGAUCUCCGCCUGGCAGGUCUGCAGCUGCUCUGAGCUGGACACCACCUGCUUGUUCAGCUCCUGGGUCUGCAACAAGGAAAAAAACAGUGGAACAAUCUAUGGCAGUUCAAGGCAAGGUGAUCUGUGCUCCAUGUGACUCAGCCCUCUCCUCACCAUGACUGGGCCAUUCACACUUGGAUUCAAAGAAAAAAAUAUGACCAGAGGCAUGGAAACAUGGAACAGACUGACAGAUCU